UACAGAGGGUGCAAGCGUUAAUCGGAGUUACUGGGCGUAAAGGGCGCGUAGGUUGUUUAUUAAGUUGUUUGUGAAAUCCCCGGGCUUAACCUGGGAACUGCAAGCGAAACUGGUAGACUAGAGUACUGUAGAGGGUAGUGGAAUUUCCGGUGUAGCGGUGAAAUGCGUAGAGAUCGGAAGGAACACCAGUGGCGAAGGCGGCUACCUGGACAGAUACUGACACUGAGGCGCGAGAGCGUGGGGAGCAAACAGG
rnacentral:rRNA from 1 species